UACGAAGGGGGCGAGCGUUGUUCGGAUUUACUGGGCGUAAAGGGCGCGCAGGCGGCUUUGUUUGUCAGGCGUGAAAGCCCCGGGCUUAACCUGGGAACUGCGUUUGAUACGGCAGGGCUAGAGUUCGGGAGAGGAGAGUGGAAUUCCCAGUGUAGAGGUGAAAUUCGUAGAUAUUGGGAAGAACACCGGUGGCGAAGGCGGCUCUCUGGAUCGAUACUGACGCUGAGGCGCGAAAGCGUGGGGAGCAAACAGG
rnacentral:rRNA from 1 species